rnacentral:rRNA from 1 species
GACGAACGCUGGCGGCGUGCUUAACACAUGCAAGUCGAACGUGAUUUUUGUGGAAAUUCUUUCGGGAAUGGAAAUGAAAUGAAAGUGGCGAACGGGUGAGUAACACGUGAGCAACCUACCUUACACAGGGGGAUAGCCGUUGGAAACGACGAUUAAUACCGCAUGAGACCACAGAAUCGCAUGAUAUAGGGGUCAAAGAUUUAUCGGUGUAAGAAGGGCUCGCGUCUGAUUAGCUAGUUGGAAGGGUAAAGGCCUACCAAGGCGACGAUCAGUAGCCGGUCUGAGAGGAUGAACGGCCACAUUGGAACUGAGACACGGUCCAAACUCCUACGGGAGGCAGCAGUGGGGAAUAUUGCACAAUGGGGGGAACCCUGAUGCAGCGACGCCGCGUGAGCGAAGAAAGGUUUUUCGAAUCGUAAAAGCUUCUGUCCCUAUGAGAAAG